UGGGGAAUUUUGGACAAUGGGCGAAAGCCUGAUCCAGCAAUGCCGCGUGUGUGAAGAAGGCCUUCGGGUUGUAAAGCACUUUUGUCCGGAAAGAAAUCCUUGGCUCUAAUACAGUCGGGGGAUGACGGUACCGGAAGAAUAAGCACCGGCUAACUACGUGCCAGCAGCCGCGGUAAUACGUAGGGUGCAAGCGUUAAUCGGAAUUACUGGGCGUAAAGCGUGCGCAGGCGGUUUGCUAAGACCGAUGUGAAAUCCCCGGGCUCAACCUGGGAACUGCAUUGGUGACUGGCAGGCUAGAGUAUGGCAGAGGGGGGUAGAAUUCCACGUGUAGCAGUGAAAUGCGUAGAGAUGGUGGAGGAAUACCGAUGGCGAAGGCAGCCCCCUGGGCCAAAUACUGACGCUCAUGCACGAAAGCGUGGGGGAGCAAAACAGGAUUAGAUACCCUGGUAGUCCACGCCCUAAACGAUGUCAACUAGUUGUUGGGGAUUCAUUUCCUUAGUAACGUAGCUAACGCGUGAAGUUGACCGCCUGGGGAGUACGGUCGCAAGAUUAAAACUCAAAUGAAUUGACGGGG
rnacentral:rRNA from 1 species